ensembl:ncRNA ZK669.8 ncRNA
GAUUUUCAAGGCUUUGCUGAAAAAUAGUUUCAAAUUUUAAACCAUUCACCGAAACAUUACAUUUAAAAAUCUAGUUGU